rnacentral:ncRNA from 1 species
AUGGGCAAUCAGAGAUAGAAUCAACAUAAAGUUUUUAAUUAAUGGAUAAAGGUAGCACAUUAAAAGAGCUUAGCAAAGAAUAUUUUUAUUAUUACAAAAAUGGCCCCCAAGCGGGAAAAGCUAGUGGUUUAAGAAUAAGAAUUAGAAUACUGUGGAAAGAGUAACCAUAGAAGGUGAUAGUCCUGCAUAAGUAGAAAGUUUUUAAAUCUUCGAGUAGAGCGGGGCACGUGAAAUCUUGUUUGAACAUGGGGGAUCAUCCUCCAAGCCUAAAUACUCCUUGACGACCGAUAGUGAACAAGUACCGUGAGGGAAAGGUGAAAAGAACCCCGGGAGGGGAGUGAAAUAGAAUCUGAAA